CUUCAUCUAUGAUAAAUGAAACCACAACUAUUGAAUACCAAGUCUUGGAUGAGACUGCUAUAAAUACGGAAAAUGUUAGUAUGGCAGAUACUGAGAGACCUCAACUAAUUCAGCAAUAUGUUGACUGU